UACAGAGGGGCAAGCGUUGUUCGGAAUUACUGGGCGUAAAGGGCGCGUAGGCGGCCGCCUAAGUCAGACGUGAAAUCCCUCGGCUCAACCGGGGAACUGCGUCUGAUACUGGGUGGCUUGAAUCCGGGAGAGGGAUGCGGAAUUCCAGGUGUAGCGGUGAAAUGCGUAGAUAUCAGGAGGAACACCGGUGGCGAAGGCGGGUCUCGUGGGCAACAACGUGACGCUGAGGAGCGAAAGCGUGGGGAGCGAACAGG
rnacentral:rRNA from 1 species